rnacentral:tRNA from 1 species
GCCGAAGUGUUGAAAUUGGCAGACAAGCAGGUUUUAGGAACCUGUGCGAGCAAUCGCGUGUGGGUUCAAGUCCCACCUUCGGCA